rnacentral:rRNA from 1 species
UACGUAGGGGGCGAGCGUUGUCCGGAUUUAUUGGGCGUAAAGAGCGUGUAGGCGGCCAGGUAGGUCUGCUGUGAAAACUCGAGGCUCAACCUCGAGACGUCGGCGGAAACCAUCUGGCUAGAGUCCGGAAGAGGAGAGUGGAAUUCCUGGUGUAGCGGUGAAAUGCGCAGAUAUCAGGAAGAACACCAAUGGCGAAAGCAGCUUUCUGGGACGGUACUGACGCUGAGACGCGAAAGCGUGGGGAGCGAACAGG